AUCAAUUGGAACAUGCCUGCCAAGUCUUUCUAUGAGUGGAGCUGUAUGGGAUUUUUAUGGUAUUUGUGGCCGUGGAGGGUUUUUGCUUGGUUGGAUUGUUUAACUGUAUUUUGCUCCUGUGUGGUAGUAUCUAUUCCUGUUGGUAUGCUGCAGGUCUUAGUUUUUAGCUAUUUGGGUCUUUGCUGGUGGUUUUCUUUUUAGGUUCGUUGGCUUUUUUGGGGGUGGGUUUUGUAAUUCUUCCCCUGAAGUUUCAUCUUAAUCUUUGUGAACCGGUACUCUUUUUCCUCACUAGGUUUUUCCAAGGGGGUUUUCCCUGGUAAGGUUUUAAUGAGGCCUGUUCUCUUUGAUUUUCUUUAGGGGGAGGGGGUUGGGUAGGUUCUGGAUCUUCUUCAUCAGUUUAGGAGUAAGUCGUUUCUUUUUCCUUUUCUUCUCCAUUC
rnacentral:lncRNA from 1 species